UUUAUCAAAAUAUAAAAUUAAUUCUACAAGUUAAAAUGUUACAUUUUCUUUCAACAGGAAGAUUUCAAUAUUUAAUUAAUAACGUAAGCGGCGUAUUAGAUCUAAUAGUCAUUCUUCCCAAUUGAUUUGAAAGAAUUAGACUGAAAAAAUUUUAUUUAAUUCGCUAUCCAAAUUCGAAUUCGAAUUCCUAACAAUAGAAUAAAAACAUUGAUUUUGAGAUUUAUCUAUCCGUUUUGAAAAUAUUUCUACAUAUUAAAAGAAGGAAAAAAAAAUAAAAACACUUUGACAAUGAUAUUGAUGGCCAUGCAUUCCAAGAAUGAAUGUAAACGUGGGGUCCAAUUCCCAUGAUUGCAAAGAAAGAAGGGGUGGUGGAUGCCAACUGGGAGUGGUAUGGAGAGAAUAAAGGGGCUUUAAGUGUUUUUUGAGAAUAAGGACCACCAAUUAUGUUCCACCUAUCCACUAGGUUUUUCCCACGUGGAUGGGUGAUAUCUGAAUCAUCGUCUUUCUUGGGCUUGGCCACCAUAUUCACCUCUCUCUCUCUCUCUCUCUAUUUAUACAUAUAUAAAAACUUUUUUUUAUUAAAGAUAUUUUUUAUUUUAUUAAAGUGAAAAUCUUAGCAAAAUAUAAAAAAUAAAAAUUUUAGGGUUCAGGCGUUCAGCCACGUUGCCAUGAUAAUAUGAUACCGUGUUUUUUGUCUUUUUGUGAUCCAACCAAUUCAUCACAAUAACUGUAUAAGUAAAUGCAACGGCACCAUAUGUUUACUUAAGUUAUUAACAUUGCAAUCCCUCUAAUUUUCUAAAAUAUUAGAAAAAAACAUAAUUAUUAUUAUUUUACUUUCUCAGCCCCGUAAUAAGCAUCCUUCUCUCUCCUUGUCACACAACCCAUGAGUAAUCUUUAUAUUUUCAUUUUUUUUAACUUCUUUCUUAAUUUUUUAUCUUAUUUCUUUUAGUAAAUAUUCUUAUUUAUUGGCUAAGUUGUUAAAUAAUAUGAAGAAUGAAGAAGUAUGAAAUUUUCAAAGGAUUUUUAUUAUUAUUAUUGGGUAAUUAUAAUGCAUGAUUCAGUACACAUGCAANNNNNNNNNNNNNNNNNNNNNNNNNNNNNNNNNNNNNNNNNNNNNNNNNNNNNNNNNNNNNNNNNNNNNNNNNNNNNNNNNNNNNNNNNNNNNNNNNNNNAUAUAUAUGGACAUAGUAUAAAUAUAUAAUUUCAAUCUCUUAAUACUCGCAAAGCGUAAGAUAUGAAAAUUGUGAGAAAUUACAAAUAAUAAUUAAAUUGCUAUUGGGGUAAAUUCUUCUUUAACCCCAUGAAUUUUUUUUUUCUUGAGAAGGAUUAACCCCGAGAAUUUGAGUACAGUACCUCCUUAUAUGUAAACUGCGGUUGGCUUUCUUUAGAUAAAAUACUCCCUCUGCUAAAAGAAGAAGUAAUAUUUUCAAAAUUUUAAAUAGACAUGCAUUUAAAUUUUUAGUUUGCACAAAACGCACCCGCAUGGCUUUCUCUUUAGUCAGAAUGAUUGAAAUAUUCCAAUACACAUGAUGAUGAUAUAGCAUCGUACAUUAAAGCUAGCAUGGUUUUAAGUUACUUUAUUUGUUCACUUAUAGUUUAAUGAAAUAUUAUUUUAGUGAAGGUAUUAAUGAUGUUGAGAUUAAAUAAACUUCAUUUUUCCAUAGUAAUCAAAUCCGAUGCCCAAUCUUAACUUCUAAUCGCUUUUCUAAGUUAGAUUUAGUCAUACAUAAUCAUUUUUGGGCUACAAUUUAUAUAUAUAUAGUUAAUGAAACAAAUGCGUUACUGCUGGAUCCAAUACGUAAAGUGAUGCAUAAUGACAACGAUUAGCUAAUUCUUGGAUCAUAUAUGCUUAUUCACUUUAUGCUACUAAUUAUUCUCCACUAAUCAUUAUUACUCGGCAUUAUCAUAAGUAAAUGUGACGACGUUAGACGACAAGACCAUAUAAAUAUGAAUUGGCCAGUUGUGUUAGGAUUUAUCUAUUAUCGAUUUGAAAUGUGCUACUUGCAAGAUACUAUUUGUCUAUCGUUGGCUUAACUUGUGGGGUUGUGUUUGUGAUAUUAAUAACCAAUUAAGUGUCAUACCAUUUGAGAAUGAUUUUUCACAGGUAGGAAAUAAUACUAGGCCUUGUUUAAUGUUCAAGAUUGUGAUGUUUUAGAUUAUAGUGCAACAACUUUGAACUGGAAUUACUAACAAAUACAAUGAACUAAUUAAGUUUCUCUGAGUUUUCUUAUAUAGUAAUAAUUCUUAAAGGGAGAGUGACAUUUUCUUUUUACCAUUUGCCUCCCUAAAAUUUUAAAUUAUCCUAUUUCUUUCUUGAAAAUAAAAUUUUAACCAAAAGAAAUGAUUGUUUUAUAAUUGGGAUGAAUUAUUUUUUUGUUAAA
rnacentral:lncRNA from 1 species